CCCACUUAAGAUCAACGCUGCAAUUCAAUUCUACAUUCAAUUACGUUUUAAACUUUGGCGAGUAAACAACUUAAGCGGGUAAACGGCAAAUAACAGUAAAUAACCGAAAAUAAAACGAACGAGUGAAUUCUAAUGGAAAAUUUUUAAAUUUUCAACAUAAUUUGUGGAUUUUCCAACUUUGGAUAAUAAACACAAAAACAACACCAAUUUACAAAAACAAGAAAAAAAAUCUUGCCAACAUUUUAACGCAUUCAACGCUCAAAUAAUGGUCUUGUUGCGCGUUAUAAAAUAUCUUGUGGGUUGUGUUGUGCGUCUUUGUGAGGAGCUCAAUCACAGCGUUCUCUCCUGGAAAAUGCUUAAAUAUCGUAUGUUGCAACAAAAAUGACGUCUGCCUGUAGUGCGUGGUUGGAGGCAACAGAUUCUUGUUUGUGUUUUAUUUCUUGCCAAUGAUGAUCUGCUAAUUAUUUUCGAGGAUUUGUAGCAGUAUUCGUGAAUAAUGAAGUUCGUAGCUUAAGUCUUUUGUUAUACGAAAAUAAGGAUCAAAAGAAAGUGUGUCCAAAAUGGAAAAUAAAUGUUUGGAAAUUGAUUUGUUCAAAAAUA